rnacentral:lncRNA from 1 species
UAAUUUUCUGUGAAAAUAUGAAGGCAGGAACAUCUUCAGACAUUAACAAAUAAGAGCAAUAAAUCCUUCUGUUUUAACAAGAUAUGGUUAAGGCUAGUUUUGCUGACAGUGAUAGCUUAUUAUUACAGUAUACUUGUGAUUUAGCUCUUCAUGUGCCCCUUGAGUUGUAUGCAUUCCUCUGUGUAUUUAGAUAACAAAACUGUGUUGCUUGUGUAAUUGUCAUGGCAUUGAAAAGGAGCUAGUGAGUCGGUCAAAAACUUGAAUUCUCACUGUGAAGCUGCUAUGGAUCCCUAAUAAGUUCUGAGAAUUUUAUUUUUUAAUGCUAAUAGAAACUCCUGGGAAUGCCAUGCUAAGAAAAUCGUGUACCAAGCCUUCCAAUACUGAAGAAAAGUAUGUGUAACAUAAGUAUCUUCUCCAUGUCUUUUUCUUCAUUAAAGCUUGCAAAUGUCCAGUGCAUGUGAGAGGACCAAUGCAGCCUUCUUGUGAGAUGCUUCAGAGGCCUGCAAGGUAGGGCCUGGUUCAAAUACCUGUAAGCACAAUGGACCAUGCAGGAGAGACAGAAAACUGUCAUUGUUUUUUCUUCCCUGAGACGUCUUCCAAUAGUAUUGCAGUCUCUGAGAACUGGGAAGCCACCUACUGUUGUAUUAUUGACUUACAUGAGUAGCAAGGUCAUGAAGGACCUGGGCCAUGAAGAACUUCUGUAGAACUGAUGUCCCUUCCAAGCUAAAGGGUGAACUUCAUCAGAAUACUUCAGAGCAACAAGGAAUUACAUUCAAGUUAAUUUUUUUCAUGCUCAUGCCUGCUGAGUUAAGUGGAAGUGAUUCAUAGGUUGCUGGUGGUGCAUGACAGUAAAGUCUAUUACACUGCUCAAUGCAAAUAAUGGAAAU